AUCCUUUUGUAGCUCAUAAGUGUGAUGAUUGGGUGUGAGAUGAGCCUUCCUUAAACAUUGUUAUAAACCUUGUUAGCACAUUACCUGUCAUAUG
ensembl:snoRNA